AAUAAAUUAUGACGAUUAUUUAGUUAUUUUUAAAUUCUUGAUCUUAAAUGUAAUGUUAAUUAAGGUUUAUUAAUUUUAAAAAGGUGCUAUAAUUAAUGUGUAUAUUAUACACCCUGUUAAGAAGAUAUAGGGUACACCUGAAUCCAUAUGUGCAUCUGUCCUUGUGUCUUUGUAUGUUGUAAUUGAGUUCCAAUACAAAAUGUAUUUUUGCGACAAAUGCUGUAGAAUAUGCAUUUGUUGAUGGCAAGUGCAUUGUUGUAAUGCACUUUAUUUGUAAAUUAAUAAAACACUCAACAACAGGAAUAAUAUUUUAUUCUCAAAUGCACAUAUUAUUGCAUUUUCAAUCAAUAGUAAAACGAUGACAUUAAAUUUGAUUAUCAAGUUAAGACACAUCAGCAUAUUGCAUCACUUCUGACAUAAGGCAGAACUUUCAUUCAAUAUAAUGCACAUAAAUGCACCGAUCAUAAUCCAUUUAUAUCAAUAUCUAUUUACUUAUUAAUAUUGUAAUUUUUCCAAAAAAAUGGGUCAAUUUUAAAUGAUCAACUUUCAGGUUUUACAAGUACUUUGGGGUGCAUCGAUUGGACGCAUGUGCAUAUCAAGAAGCCAGUAAACCAUGUAGAAGUCUACAUAGGGCGAAAGGGCGUUCCCACCAUCAACGUUCAGGCUGUGUAUGAUGCCAGCUACAGAAUAACGAGCUUCACUCAAGUUCACUGCCAGUUGGCCAGGGCGAAAGCAUGAUGCCAGGAUUUGUUGAUGUCUAAUUUCAAAUUCACAUAACUGUAUCUACCAUUAUUCUGGAAUUUCAUUCAGUUCAUUGAAUGAAGAAUUUUAUUAUUAUCAAUGAUGUAUAUCUUGUAAGCAAAUAAUAUCAAGAAGUGCCCCAAGACACCGCAUUCAACUACCCGGUAAUAUUCCUCUUUGAAUGUAGAAUGUAUUUUAUAUGUCAGUAACAUAAUACAAUGACCAAUGUAAUAUUUAACCUACAUUUCUUAAAGCACACAAAUAUUGACUGGAAUUUUAUAAGUACAAAAAGGGAUAGAAUCAUAUUUUUAUCAUAGAAAUAAUAGUAUGCCCCUUUUUGAAUUAAAAAAAAAUCUUAUUAUUUUGUGUGCAACUUCCCCAUAACUAUUAUUUCUAAUAUAGACUAUCUAUUUUAGAAAUAAUAGAGUUAUGAAGUAGUUGCACAAACAAUAAUAAGAUCCUUUUAAUUACAAAAAGGCGAAUAAAUCUACUACUAGUAUAUUACAUGUCAGAGUUAUAGCACUUGGUCACGUAUUGACACUAAACACAUCUUUUUCUCCAAAUGUAUUAUUUCAAUUUCUACAGUCAACUUUUUUAUUUCUUAUUCUAAUUUUUCUUAGUUAUUUCCCAUCGGUUUCCCUGUAAGUUUUGUUAAGGUAUCGGCUUGUGAUCUCUUGUCGUUCUUCUUUGUGAGCGCUGCAAAAAUGGAUAAAAAGUGUGAUUUGUAUAAAUGGACUUGUUCUCAUAUUAUGAUCUUCAAAGGUUAAAAAAUUAAUACAUAUAUAUCACAUAAUCUAUGUAUGCAUUGGUACUAUGCAUUGGUACUUAGUUUUAACAUAUUUGAUGCUAAUUAUGUUUCAACAAAUGCAUGACUUUUGUUGCAUAUUACAUAAUAACAUUAUACAGUACUUGCUUUGUCAGAUGGUAUUGUCAGUAUAGUUUUAAGAACUGGAAUUCCAUCCAUGCAAGUUAAUUAUUAACUCUAAAUUAAUUGUAUGCACUGCAAUACCUUCAAUUAGAGCUAUCUAAGUGUUAAAUUUAUUAAUAUUUAAUUUUCAAGAUUUGUUCCAGACAAUUUGAAAUCUAAAUUUUAAGAUAUCCAAAACUUACAUUCUUUACACUUAAUGCCUCUACUUUCAUGACUGGUACACUCUGAAAUCACAUGAAAAAAUAUAGUGUCACUUAAAAAAUCUAAAUUAAUUUAAUCCAGUGAUGUUUUCAAUGCAAUAAAAUUGACAACUAAUGUUAAUAUACUAUACUUAAGUUAAUGUAUAAUAAUCCCAGUGUUAACUUUCAAACACAAUGUUUAAUGUUAAUUUAAUGCAUGUUUUUUUCUUUUAUUUUGUUUUUAUAUAAGGGUGAAUUUCUAUUAUAUUGUAUACUAUGUUGAAUGUGAUGCAUACAAUAUAAGUCAUA